rnacentral:rRNA from 1 species
AUGGUCCUACGGGACGCAGCAGUGGGGGAUAUUGCACAAUGGGGGGAGCCCUGAUGCAGCGACGCCGCGUGGGUGAAGGAGCGUUUCGGCGCGUAAAGCCCUAUCGGCAGGGAAGAAGAUGACGGUACCUGACCAAGAAGCCCCGGCUAACUACGUGCCAGCAGCCGCGGCAAUACGUAGGGGGCAAGCGUUAUCCGGAUUUACUGGGUGUAAAGGGGGCGCAGACGGCAAUGCAAGCCAGGCGUGAAAGCCCGGGGCCCAACCCCGGGACUGCCCUUGGAAC